rnacentral:rRNA from 1 species
GACAGAGGGUGCAAACGUUGUUCGGAUUUACUGGGCGUAAAGCGCGUGUAGGCGGCUCGAUAAGUCCGCUGUGAAAGUCCAGGGCUCAACCCUGGAAGGCCGGUGGAAACUGUCGGGCUAGAGUCCGGAAGAGGCGAGUGGAAUUCCCGGUGUAGCGGUGAAAUUCGUAGAGAUCGGGUGGAACACCAGUGGCGAAGGCGCCUGUCUGGCGGACAACUGACGCUGAGACUCGAAAGCAUGGGGAGCAAACAGG